CGAGUCGACGAGAACGGGUCUUAGCUUGCUAAGAUUGUCAGCUAAGUGGCGCACGGGAGAGUAAUAUAUAGUUAACCUGCCCUAGAGAGAGGGAUAACGUUUGGAAACGGACGCUAACACCUCAUAUGCCUUUAAGUCAAAAGACUGCAAGGGAAACAUUUAUGGCUCUAGGAUGGGACUGUACGGUAUCAGUUAGUUGGUGAGGUAAUGGCUCACCAAGACAAUGACACCUAACUGGUUUGAGAGGAUGAUCAGUCACACUGGAACUGAGACACGGUCCAGACUCCUACGGGAGGCAGCAGUGGGGAAUAUUGCACAAUGGACGAAAGUCUGAUGCAGCAACGCCGCGUGGAGGAUGACACAUUUCGGUGCGUAAACUCCUUUUAUAUAGGAAGAUAAUGACGGUACUAUAUGAAUAAGCACCGGCUAACUCCGUGCCAGCAGCCGCGGUAAUACUGAGGGUGCGAGCGUUACUCGGAAUCACUGGGCGUAUAGAGAAUGUAGGCGGGUAAUUAAGUCAGAAGUGAAAUCCAAUAGCUCAACUAUUGAACUGCUUUUGAAACUGAUAACCUAGAAUAUGGGAGAGGUAGAUGGAAUUUCUGGUGUAGGGGUAAAAUCCGUAGAGAUCAGAAUGAAUACCGAUUGCGAAGGCUAUCUACUGGAACAUUAUUGACGCUGAGAUUC
rnacentral:rRNA from 1 species